AAUUGACUCCAUUCCAGACAUUAUUAUGAGCCAUCCUCCCCUCAGCAGCCUCCACCGAUAUAGUUAUAUGUCUGUCAUAUUGAGGUGUCUAGCUAUAAGUUAAACCUGAUCAAUCAAAUGGAUAGGUUUAAACUUGGUGUCUUCGCUAGACAGACAGAGGGGGAGGAAGAAAAUGGGAGUGAAAGGAUGAAAGUGAGAGGUAGGAAGAGUGGAAGACAGAUGGAGAGAGAGAGAAACAGAGAGAGAAAGACAGUAGUGAUUGAGGUUGAGGAUAUCCCUCUAGUGGUGUGGGGGCUGUGCUUUGGCAGAGUGGGUGGGGUUAUAUCCUUCCUGUUUGGCCCUGUCCGGGGGUUUCUUCGGAUGGGGCCACAGUGUCUCCUGACCGCUCCUGUCUCAGCCUCCAGUAUUUAUGCUGCAGUAGUUUAUGUGUCGGGGGGCUAGGGUCAGUUGGUUAUACCUGGAGUACUUCUCCUGUCUUAUCCAGUGUCCUGUGUGAAUUUAAGUAUGCUCUCUCUAAUUCUCUCGUUCUCUCUUUCUCUCUGAGAACCUGAGCCCUAGGACCAUACGUCAGGACUACCGGGCAUGCUGACACCUUGCUGUCCCCAGUCCGCCCGGCCUUGCUGCUAUUCCAGUUUCAACUGUUUCUGCCUGCGGUUACGAAACCCCUACCCGUCCCAGACCUGCUGUUUUCAACUCUUAAUGAUCGGCUAUGAAAAGCCAACUGAGAUUUAUUCCUGAUUAUUAUUUGACCAUGCUUGUCAUUUAUGAACAUUUUGAAAAUCUUGGCUCUCUCUAAUUUUCUCCUUCUCUCUUUCUCUCGGAGGACCUGAGCCCUAGGACCAUACGUCGGGACUACCGGCCGUGGUGACUCCUUGCUGCCCCCAGUCCGCCUGGCCUUGCUGCUAUUCCAGUUUCAACUCUUCUGCCUGCGGUUAUGGAACCCCUACCUGUCCCAGACCUGCUGUUUUCAACUCUUAAUGAUCGGCUAUGAAAAGCCAACUGAGAUUUAUUCCUGAUUAUUAUUUGACCAUGCUUGUCAUUUAUGAACAUUUUUAAAAUCUUGGCUCUCUCUAAUUUUCUCCUUCUCUCUUUCUUUCUCUCGGAGGACCUGGGCCCUAGGACCAUGCGUCGGGACUGCCGCCCGUGGUGACUCCUUGCUGUCCCCAGUCCGCCUGGCCUUGCUGCUAUUCCAGUUUCAGCUGUUCUGCCUGCGGUUAUGGAACCGCCACCUGUCCCAGACCUGUUGUUUUUCAACUCUUAAUGAUCAGCUAUGAAAAGCCAACUGAAAAUUAUUCAUGAUUAUUAUUUGACCAUGCUUGUCACUUAUGAACAUUUUUGAACAUCUUGGCAUAGUUCUGUUAUAAUCUCCACCCGGCACAGCCAGAAGAGGACUGGCCACCCCUCAUAGCCUGGUUCCUCUCUAGGUUUCUUCCUAGGUUUUGGCCUUUCUAGGGAGUUUUUCCUAGCCACCGUGCUUCUACACCUGCAUUCUAGCUGUUUGGGGUUUUAGGCUGGGUUUCUGUACAGCACUUCGAGAUAUUAUCUGAUGUACGAAGGGCUAUAUAAAAUAAAAUUGAUUGAUUGAUAGUGCAAAUAUACUUAGACUUGAGUAUUUCAACAACUCUUCUCUUCCAACUUGUUAGGCAAUCAUAUCUACCUACGGGGAAGGAUGGCCAGCCACACAGAAGGUUGAUUUUUACUAAGGAGAAGGAGGCCAUGCUGACAGAAAUGCAUGUGUACAUUUUUGGAGUGAAGCGCAUGAAUGCCAAAAUGUACCUAAUCUUCUUCUGACAUGGAAUUGUCAAGGAUGUGGACAGCGGGGCAAGUCAGUACCAUGUCUAGCCUGCCAUAAGUUUGAGAGGGCGAAGACAGUGGCACUGGAGAUAAAGCCCAUCAAAGUUGUUUCACCAUGGCACAUGAUCGGUUCACCAUGGCACAUGAUCGGGGUGGACCUCAUUGGACCCUUCACGAAAUCCAGGAAUGGCAACAGCUGGUGUUUUCCAGCGACCGAUCACUUUCAAGUUGGUGGAGGCAAUACCCAUUACAGUCAGUAAAGGAAGAGUUUGGUGGAUGGACAAACCAGACCCUCAAGACUGCCAUGAGCAAGUCCCUUGAUACCAGGAAGGGUGGGAGAACAACCUGAAGGCAAUUCUCUUUGCGCACAACAGCAGCAUCCAGGCCAAGUAUGGAUGGGAGCCGCAGCUGUUGACUGAGAUCUCUGAAACCCCACCUGAUGUGGUGGAAGUGUUCGAUCCAGAUUAGAACGCCUUCAAGUACCACCUUCAGGCACAGACUGAGAAGGAUGUGGAGGUUUUUGACCAGGAAAAAUGAUUGCCCGCUGUUAAUUUAUGUUGUAACGCUGCAGUAAUCCAUCAAAUUUUCUCACAGUAAAGUGUAACCUGUGUGGUUGCUUGUUUACUUCUCUAUCUCCUACCUUUUUCAUUUUAACUCUGCUCCUGUUCUCCAGUACCUAGGGGUUCUGCCCAACACCCAGACGUGGAUCCACCUUAUGUCAUCCAUUACCAACCACCCUCCAACUUUUCAUUACAUCAUCUACAGCUACUGUUGUUGUCAUUAUCUGCUAAGAGUUGUCUUGCUCUUAUCAUUCUGGGCACGUAAUAUGUUAGAUACACAGAUGAACUAAAAACACUAGCACUGCAAACACUCAGAACAAAGAGAGCAGCAGUGCCUGGACUUUGCAGUCUCCCUCUUCAAGUCCCCCUUCUGAGACUGGCUGCCUGUUGAGAACAAGUGACAGGCAGAAUUCCACACACCAGAAUUCAGUAUUUUAGUCUAUGAUUGCCACGUGAGUAUACAAAAAAUAUGUGAAAAUAAAUGAAUGACAUAACUACCAAAAACGAUCAAAGUUUCAUAAGGUGUUCAUUAUUGUAAGUUGUAAGGUAUCUUUUGACGAUAUUUAUUUGUUCCACAUUAUUCAUUAUUGUAUCCUAGGACCUACUGAUUAUAGAAAAAAAAAUCAUAGAGGACUACUGAAAUUAUAUUAUUUCAGUGCAGGUUAAGAUAAAAACAUGGCACCCAGACAAGCCAGUGUAUGAAUCAAAGGGGUUUGCAUAUGAAUAGAGUGGAAAUUAGCUGACUUCCUGAUCUGUAAUGUAUGUAACAUUAAUGUGUCAAGCAGGUUACGUUUUCUUUGCCAUUUCUGCAACGUAGCAACGUUUAAGACAUGGAUUUCAUGUUGUAAUGAUAACAAUGUACCCACAAGUAGUUCAAAUUAAUGUUUUCAUUUUAUUAGCUAAACAAAACUAGUUUAAACAGCGAAAUUGUCGCGGAAAGCAGCUUUGUUUGCAUAGUGAUGAUGAAAAGAAUGUAAUUUAGUUUGUAAUGAUCUCCAAAAUUCUAAUCAUUAUGUUGUCACACCGUUGAUAUAGCAAUGGACACUAAUAGUUUAUCGAAUAACAAUGUGACGUAGAGGGGACACUAUUUGGCAAUGCAAGCCCCAUGGGUUCUCGAAAGCUAGGGUAGUCAUGUCCCAUGUCCCUUACAUGACCGACAACCUCCAUAGUUUUUUUUAAAAGUCUGGUGUAAUUGCAGAGAACUUAUGAUAACUAAGCAUGAAGAAAGUGUUUGAGAACCUAUUUACAAAUGGCAGAGAGAGGUUGCAGCAUCACUCUUCCCAUAACAUGUAGGUCUGAGCCUAAAUUACAGAAAGGGAAGGAAGUUACCCUGUACAACCUCUUAAAAUAGGUCACUAUACUCACUUAUUACUGGUAAUAGCAUUUUCAUUUUUAAUAGCUUCUAUGACAUGAGAAAGUGUGUGUGUGUGAAAAUGCACAUCCAAUAUUCAUACACUUAUAUGGAUGCACAUAAUGUAUAUUAUAAAUAUGAGGCACUGGGACAUGAUUUGUUGUGUUAUACUUUAUCAAUAUCUGUUGAAAUUGAAGUGAUGUCUAGACUGUUUUCACCGAAGUGCAGCUUCAGACUCUCUAUUUAUACUUCAUCACUGAGAUUCUAUUUUGAUUCAGAGACCGAACAACCCAAGGCUUGUCUGAACACUCUGAUUCUCUUUUUAUCCCAUUGUCUCCUCACUUCAGCUGAGAAAGUGGAAGUCCUAUAUUAGAGCUCACUCUACUUAGCUGACCUCUAUCCAAAAUGGUUUUGUAACUGCCUCAGCUCCUGUACACACCCAGUAUCCAUAGAGAAAUACAUACUCACUUUUUAUCUGACUCUAAUAAAGUAUCUGUAUGAUGUGUGUUCAGCUUGAGACCAAACGGAUUGAGAGUGCGAGGAAUGCUAAUUGCAGAGGUUGAAGUGAUCAAUGAACCCACAGUAUUUAAACACUUCACCCCAAAGCCCACAUUUUAGUCUUUUUGUAGGGUAUAUGUCCCAAAUGGCACCCUAUUCCCUUUAUAGUGCACCACUUUGGACCAGGACCUAGGUCCAAGGUAGUGCACUAUGUAAAAAAAUAGGGUGCCCAUAGGAUGCAGAUUCAGUUUCUAACCGGGUGUGUGUCAGGUCCAAGGUUAUUAUAGUAAACUAAAACUGAACUAAAGAUGGGGGAAAAAUUGUUAUCUGAAAUAAAAUAAUUAACAGACCCGUUUGAAACUAUUAUAUUUGACUCCAAAACGAACUAAAGUCAAAUAAAAACCAUCAUGAAUUAUGUUUUUUCUUUUUUUCUUCUAAACUUUGGGCAAAAAUAAAAUGGGGUUUUCAAGCCGGGUAAAUUCUGACAGGAGAUGUCGAUGUUGUUACGAAUCCCGCCGAAGAUGGUGCCUCUUCCCGUUCGGGCGGCGCUCGGCGGUCGUCGUCUCCGGCCUACUAGCUGCCACCGAUCCCCUUUUCUGUUUCAUUUAGUUUUGUCUGAUUUGUUGCACCUGUUUUGUGUUUAGGUUUAUUGUGGGAUAUUUAAACCCAGUUGGCCCGCCGACUUUUGUGCGGGCUUGUUUAUCUGUUUGUGGUGUCGUAUUUUCUUGUUGUGUCUGUUCCAUGUGGAUUUUGUCCUGUUUGUUUUGGACUGUACUUGACGCGCCCUUGAAUGUGUGGCGUAGCCGUCUCGUUAUAUUCUUUUGGAAUAUUAAAUCCACUAGCUUCUCACUA